rnacentral:rRNA from 1 species
UACCAGACUCCUACGGGAGGCAGCAGUGGGGAAUAUUGCACAAUGGGGGAAACCCUGAUGCAGCAACGCCGCGUGAGUGAAGAAGUAUUUCGGUAUGUAAAGCUCUAUCAGCAGGGAAGAAAAUGACAGUACCUGACUAAGAAGCCCCGGCUAACUACGUGCCAGCAGCCGCGGUAAUACGUAGGGGGCAAGCGUUAUCCGGAUUUACUGGGUGUAAAGGGAGCGUAGACGGCUGCGCAAGUCAGAAGUGAAAGCCCGGGGCUCAACCGCGGGACUGCUCUGGAAACUGUAAAGCUGGAGUGCGGGAGGGGCAGGCGGAAUUCCUGGUGUAGCGGUGAAAUGCGUAGAUAUCAGGAGGAACACCGGUGGCGAAGGCGGCCUACUGGACUGCGACUGACGUUGAGGCCCGAAAGCGUGGGGAGCAAACAGGAUUAGAUACCCUGGUA